ensembl:lncRNA
GGAUGAUCCCUCACUUUACAAUAUGCUCUCUAGUUAUUCCAGUGAGUAUACUCACAUAAGACAAGUACUUUACAAACUUAAUAAGCAGUGUUUACAGAAGAUCUAAAACACACAGAAGUCUUUCACACAUUUGAAGAGCGAAGAAGAGCUAAAGAAAUGAAAAACAUUAGCCAGGUAUGGUGGCUCAGGCCUGCAAUCCCAGAGCUUUAAGAGGCCGAAAUGGGAGGAUCACUUGAGCCCAGGAGUUUGAGGGCAGCCUGGACAACACAGUGAGGCCCCAUCUCUACAGAAAUAGUUUUAAAAUAGCUGGGCAUGGUUGCUCACACCUACAGUCCCAGCUACUUGGAAGGUUAAGGAGGGAGGAUUGCUUGAGCCCAGGAAUUCGACAACAGUGUACCAUGAUUACUCCACUGCACUCCAGCCUGGGCAACAGAUUCAGACCUUAUCUCUUAAAAAAAAAAUUAACUAAAUAAAGAUGCAAAUCUAAGGAGUGGUACAGUCUAUUAAGAUCGGUUUGAUACCAGAGUGUCCUCGAGACAAUUGGAUGAAUGUUUCCAAUUAAUUGGUGCCGACAUGUUCUAAAGAUAAGAAAGGUCACUAUGGAAACCCUAAAGGCUUCUGGGAAGAAGAGGGAUUUAAAAGGAACCUAGCAGAUAAAAUAUAACACUUCAAAGAAUUUUCAGAUAUCCUCCCUCGCCUCCACUGUUAAGGACACACAGGUGGACAUUGUUGGGAAGCAUUGCAAAUACCGCACUUGGUGGUGGCCUUUCCAGGUGCUCAGAGGAUGUCAUUCAGUUGCAUUCCUCUUUGGUACAGGUGAGUCCCAUCAGUUCACAGUGCAAAUAAAGGCCAUUAAGCCCAGGAGGCGUCAAGGUGGGAGGGUGGCUGCCUGCAUCUUCCCGGCAGAAGGUUUCCCAAUACAGUUGCAGUGUCACUUGAGGGAAGACAUCAGUUCUAAGUCUGGCUACACCCUCCAACCACACCAGCAGGGAGUGUGUUGGGAGAAGCAAAAAAAGAUACCAGAAGUCAAUGUGAAAAGGCUUUUUUUCUUUUUUGUCUGAGACAGUGUCUCACUCUGUCACCCAGGUUGGAGUGCAGUGACGUGAUCUCUUGGCUCACUGCAAGCUUCACCUCCUGGGUUCACGCCAUUCUCCUGCCUCAGCCUCCCUAGUAACUGGGACUACAGGCACCCCCCAUGACGCCCAGCUAAUGUUUUGUAUUUUUAGUAGAGACGGGGUUUCACCAAGUUAGCCAGGAUGGUCUCCAUCUCCUGACCUCGUGAUCUGCCUGCCUCGGCCUCCCAAAGUGCUGGGAGUACAGGCGUGAGCCACCGCGCCCAGCCAUGAAAAGCCUUUUAAAAGUUUAAGGCAUCGGAUGGUGGCUGGCUAUUCCUUCAGCCUCCAAGGGGCCGAUCUGUUUUUACAGGUGGUGCAGCAGUCCACGCAUGGGCAAAAGGCUGCUGAUCAGGACCCGGGUCUGUGACCUACUGGUUUUGUGACCUCUGGCAGGGCACGCCAUUGAUCUGAGCCUGUUUCCUCGUGGGUAAAUGGGCAUGUAAUACCACUUGGGGUGGCCAGGAGUCAUCAAUGCAGUGUUGCACGAAGCAACCGUGUGGUCUGCCAAAGCUGGACCCUGUGUUAUCAUCUUCCCACGUGGACGCAAGUCCUCACGCACCAGCCAAACUGUGGGCAAUAGGCAGGUAGCAGAUCCCUUCCCCCAAGACCACUCCAGAGACUGGACUCUUAUAUCUCAAACCCAAGGUGGGCUCUUUACUGUGAGGGUGGUCUGAGGGAGGUUAGCAGACACCUGCUAGGGUGCCAGAGAGGCUAGCAUCUGUGUAAACCUGCCCCCAUCCUGCGCCCACAGACCUGCUGGAGUGCUGAAUGAAGCCAUCAUGAGGAAUCCCACUGUUCCACCGACUUCUAAGUGAAACGGAGCUGGGUGGCACAGCCUGAGGCGUCAUUGAUUAUUGUGACAAGCAGAUCUGCGGUCUGAGUCGUGAAGCCAAAGCCACACAUUCAUCAGGAUGGAGCCUUCCGUGCUAGGGGGACCGCGGCCCAUAACAGGACUUCUGAAGGACAAGACCCCCUCCUCCUGGCCUCUCGAGGGACUGCACCCAUCAAACUGGGCUCCCUGCCUGCGGGAUGACCUGAGACUCCAAGGCGGCCUUUGGAAGCGACUAUUCACCAUUGCUUGGGGGCAAAGAACAGACUCCUUGGAAGUCCUGUAGCAUUUAUGGGGUAUUGCCCUUUGACAAAAUCUGCACCUGGGAGAUUUGGCUGUGAUUAGAUCCUCUUCCUGUUGGAGCCAGGAUCGGGAAGGUAGGGAGGCUGGGUUGGAUGCAAGACACGGAGACAGACAGGGAAAACGACUUGGCUUAAUGUGUUUGCAUCAGGAAAUGCAGAUUCCCUGGUCUUCUUAGGAAGCCUCAUGUUGACCCUUGUAACCAAAACAGAAGUUAAGACCCAGAAAUGGAAAUGAUCAUGUUUCUGUGGAGAUUUUAAAAAAUUAAAUAACGGGUGAAAGCAAAAGAUAAAAUAAAGUCGAUGACUCUGGGCUAAGUCUUCUCAUCUGACUCUCAAUCCGGUCGGCACAUUUAUGAGAGGACAUUCACUUUUCUCUUCUUUCUAAAUGUGGUUGAAUUGUCAAAUGACACUUUGUUGAAAAUAUUAAAACCUAGAGGUCAUGCCAAACUCAGCUUGAAAGCGAAGAGACAUUCUUUCGUCUUAGCACGAGUGCAUAUUUGGAAUUGUAAAUGCAAAUUCUUUGGAGACAGACUCGCCUUCCUGGCCGGCGAGUACAGACAGAACAUUUGAAAGCAGGUCUCGCUUUAAUUUUUGACAAGUGUUAGGAAGAGAUACUCUUCGCAGCUUGAGAGAGAGGGGAAAUGAAAGCCAGCUUGUGGGUUAGAGGAGGUGGCGGGGGAGGGCGAUGAGAGAAGGACUGGCUUCUGGAAGAAGCGUCUGACUCAGUUUCUGUGCCUGCUGAGGGCUCUCUCUGAUGAUAAGGAUGGGGUGCCAGGGAGGUCACUGAGGGAAGUCAGGUGACACCUUGCAAUGGUUCAGAUACCUACGAGUCUGGCAAGCUAUCCAAAUUAUUCUAGGGGAGGUGAGGAAGCAGCAGAAGCUUGGGUGCCUGGAAACUCAUUGUAGUCACCUGGCUUAGAAAAUUCAACCAGCUCUGAUUCUUACGGCUCAGCUGCGUCCUCGUACGGCUCAUGGAAGUUGCCCUCAGACAAAAUCUACACCUGAGAGAUUUGGCUGUGAUCAGAUUCCCCUCCUGUUAUUUAACUUGAGUGAAGGAGGGAAGGGGAUGCAAUUUGCCCCUUUAACCAGACUUCCCCUACCUAGGCUGUCUUGUGUAUAAACACCGAGCUCUCACCACCCUGGGAAGACAAGGAGAAGGAAAGAGCAAGACAUUAACAUGGACUGGGUAUGCACCAUGUGCCUGGAACUUGACAUUGAGUCUUCCCACCAACCAAUGUUAUAAAUGGGGAAAUUGAGGUCCAAGGGGCUGGGUAACUUGCCUGAGGUCUCCCAAUGAGCAAAGGACAGAACCAAAAUUCAACGCAACACUGCUGGCCCCUGAAGCUCAUAUCCUUUCUUCUGUACUAAGCCACCUACGCAUAUAGGAGAAUAUAAGAUAGCCAUUGACUGCAUGAAAGUUAUGUAGCAAGGAAAGAAAUGACACCAUUUUGGGCCAGUGACAUGAUGGACAAGUGACCUCUUGCCUGUACCACCUACAUUUGAUGAUUAAGAAAAGUCCUAGAGUGAACCAAGAGAAAUGAGCCUCGAUGUCUCCGAAGUUCUCAUUAGUCCCAGUUAGCAUGCUUAAACUAUCCCCCAAAUUCAUUUCCAUGGCCUUUCCUAAAAAUUGACAUAAUUUACAUAUCAUCAAAUUCACCCAUUAAAAGUGUGCGACUCAGUGGUUUUUAGUAUAUUCACAAAGUUGUGCAACCAUCACCAUUAUAUAAUUUCAGAAUAUUUGUAUCAUCCCUAAAAGAAAUCCCAUACCCAUUAGCAGUCACUCUCUACCCCAUUCCCAACCCCCAGUCCUUGGAAACCACCAGUCUACUUUCCGUCUCCAUGGAUUUGCCUAUUCUGGACAUUUUCUAUAAAUGGAAUCAUAUAAUAUGUGGCCUGAAUAUGUCUGGCUUCUUUCACUUAGCAUAAUGAUGUCAAGGUUCAUCCACGCUGUAGCACAUAGCAGUAUUUCAUUCCUCUUCUACGGCUGAAAAAAUUCCAUUGUACGAUAUACUACAUUUUGUUUAUUCAUAAAAAUGAAUAAUGUUUGAUGAAUAUUUGGGUUGUUUCUAGCUUUGGGGCAUUAAGAAUAAUGCUGCUAUAGGCCAGGUGCGGUGGCUCACACCUGUAAUUCCAGCACUUUGAGAGGCCGAGGCUGGCAGAUCACGAGGUCAGGAGAUCAAGACCAUCCUGGCUAACACGGUGAAACCCUGUCUCUACUAAAAAUACAAAAAAAAUUAGCCAUGCGUGGUGGCAGGAGCCUGUAGUCCCAGCUACUCGGGAGGCUGAGGCAGGAGAAUGGCAUGAACCCGGGAGGCAGAGCUUGCAGUGAGCCGAGAUCGUGCCACUGCACUCCAGCCUUGGUGACAGAGCAAGACUCUGUCUCAAAAAAAAUAAAAAUAAAAAUAAAAGAAUAAUGCUGCCAUAGGCCGGGUGUGGUGGCUCACACUGGUCAUCCCAGCACUUUGGGAGGCCGAGGCAGGUGGAUCACGAUGUCAAGAGAUCAAGACAAUCCAGGCCAACAUGGUGAAACCUCAUCUCUACUAAAAAUACAAAAAUUAGCUGGGUGUGGUGGCAGGCACCUGUAGUUCCAGCUACUUGGGAGGCUGAGGCAGGAGAGUUCCUUGAACCCGGGAGGCAGAGGUUGCAGUGAGCCGAGAUCGCGCCACCGCACUCCCGCCUGGUGAGAGAGCAAGGCUCUGUCUCAAAAAAACAAACAAACAAAAAACAAGAAUAAUGCUGCAAUAAACAUUUGUGUACAAACUUUUGUAUGGUCAUUUGUUUUCCAUUCUCUUGGGUAUAUACUUAAGAGUGAAAAUGCUGGGUCUUCAAGUAACUCCAUGUUUACCUUUUUCAGGAAUUGACAAAUCGUUUUCCAAAGUUCAUACACCAUUUUACAUUCCCACCAGCAAAGCAUGAAAGUUUCAAUUUCUCCACCAGCUUUGCCAAUACUUAUUAUUAUCGAUCUUUUUGAGUAGAGUCCGCCUAGUGGAUGCAAAGAGGAAUCUCA